rnacentral:rRNA from 1 species
GCGGAGGAUCAUUAUUGA